CCAAACUUGGUCAUUUAGAGGAAGUAAAAGUCGUAACAAGGUUUCCGUAGGUGAACCUGCGGAAGGAUCAUUAACGAGUUUUGAUUGUUUAGACAAUCAUUCUCUCACCACAUUGUUGACUUAAAUUCUGUUGCUUCGGUGAUCCAGUUCGAAUGUGUAACUCCUCGACCUUUUUGGUGGGGGUGCGGUCACCGAAAUUUUUUAACCAAACUUUUUUUGAUUAUCUGAAAAACAAAAAUAAAAACAAAACUUUCAACAACGGAUCUCUUGGCUCUGGCAUCGAUGAAGAACGCAGC
rnacentral:misc_RNA from 1 species